rnacentral:rRNA from 1 species
CACUCCUACGGGAGGCAGCAGUGGGGAAUUUUGGACAAUGGGCGAAAGCCUGAUCCAGCAAUGCCGCGUGAGUGAAGAAGGCCUUCGGGUUGUAAAGCUCUUUUGUCAGGGAAGAAACGGUGAAAGCUAAUAUCUUUUGCUAAUGACGGUACCUGAAGAAUAAGCACCGGCUAACUACGUGCCAGCAGCCGCGGUAAUACGUAGGGUGCAAGCGUUAAUCGGAAUUACUGGGCGUAAAGCGUGCGCAGGCGGUUUUGUAAGUCUGAUGUGAAAUCCCCGGGCUCAACCUGGGAAUUGCAUUGGAGACUGCAAGGCUAGAAUCUGGCAGAGGGGGGUAGAAUUCCACGUGUAGCAGUGAAAUGCGUAGAUAUGUGGAGGAACACCGAUGGCGAAGGCAGCUCCCUGGGUCAAGAUUGACGCUCAUGCACGAAAGCGUGGGGAGCAAACAGGAUUAGAUACCCUGGUAGUCCCA